rnacentral:misc_RNA from 1 species
AGGAAGGGAAAAGAAAAAAUAAUUAGAAAGGGAAAAUAGACACAAAAAUAGAAAAAAAAAGCAAUUAAUAUUAGGGUAGUGUACAGAGAAGAGCAGAAGAUCCUUCUGAGCUAGAAAGAGAGAGACUUAAAGUAUGGAACACUGGUUCAGUCACCAUUAUUAACAAGAGUACGCACGUUUGUAAACCAAGCGAUGAAUUAAAGCUGCUCUCACAAGUACAUAGGUUAACUUCAGUUUCCUAAACACCUAUGAUGGGAUCUUUCUCCACCCUUUCUGCAUAGUUUCUUGCCUGUCAGGACUCCAUAUAUUCAAACACAGUGUUCCAACCCUUCCAAUAAAUUUUGUAAAUCUUAUAAGUAUUCAUUUAAAAGUAUUUCUAGGAACUCUUUUAAAUUCCAAGUUUAAAGCAUUUUGUCAAAAAAUUUGAAAUUGUAUCAAGUAUUCAAUGGAUGCUAAUAUUCCAAGUUUUUCUUUGGUGUUUUGAUAGGAAUAUUUGAAUACUUAGGAGGUUGUGAAGAAUCAAAGUGACUAAUUUAGAUUGGUGUUGUGUCAAUUCUUCCACAGCCAAAUUUUUAUUUUGGAGGUGCCGCUUAAAAGUUUCAAACUCUCAUUCUUCCUUGAAUUUGAAUAUUUGUUCACAACAAUUGCAUUUUACUUUAACUUCAUUUUGUUCAGCAAAAUGUACUUCCACUAUCUGUGGAACUUUAGGGACUUGUCCUAUUAAUGUGUUGGCAUUUCAUCUUCCUAUGCAUCCAAG